GAGGAGCUCGAGGUCUACAACUGGUAGAUCAGUAGUCUGCAGGCUAUGGACAGAGACACGUAGCCCUGAUGCUGGUAGUGCUUGUAAUCUGAGUCAAGUGAGCUGCGGAGAUAGCGAGAGCCACGCCGGACGUAUCUCGCUGAUAACAAACCAAGGGUUUAUUUUUCUUUUCCUUUCUGUUUAACUCCGUGGACGUGUGAACACACGACUCAUACUUGAAACGUAUGCGCUGGCGGUGAGUCGAUCCCUGUGAAUAGUGAGUGCCAAUAAGUCUACAGACCAAAAAUCAACUGAUAUUAACUAUUAUUGCACUGACUUUUUAAAAUGAAAACAAAAAGAAUGUUCGUGAUCAACUAAAAUUGUACCGCACUGCAAAACCAAUUGCCAUCCAACGCAGAAAAAUGGUCUCAACUCACAUUCACAAGUGGGCAGUCCGUUUGGUACUUGCAACGCUGGUGGUCUACCCAUUCUCCAACGCCAGCAUCCAACCGCUGGACUGGACGGAAUUGGCCAACGAGAUUGAUAACCAGCAAUGGUGCGGCAAGAGUAAUUAUUGCCACUCUCUCUAUGAGACAGAUGACGAAUCAACAACGGAAUUAUUCUCCAUCAAACACGGAAGGACCACAAUGAACCCGAGCGAAAUGGAAGAAAAACGCUUUUUGGAAAGGCCAUGCCGUUGCGAUGAGGAAUGCCAUAGAUAUGGCGACUGUUGUUACGACGCUCCGGCUGCCGACGUCGGCACCAGCAUCAGCAACAAUAACAUCAAAGGCGUGGAGUUCAGCAGAAAUUCGUUGGCGUGUUUACCUCUUCGCUUCAAAGAUAACGAUCACACUCCAGACCAAAAGUACUACAUUUACAUGGUCGAUAAAUGUCCGUCUACUUGGUUCGUCGACGGCGACGACGAAUCUCUACCGGCCUUGUGUCAGAAAAAACCAAACCAAUCGGACUAUACCCAUUUGAUGGACAUCCCCGUAUUGUCGCUUGACACCAACCAGACUUACGCCAAUGUUUUCUGUGCUCGAUGUCACUCGGAUGCUGCCCGGCUGGCUCGUUGGAAUGUUUCCAUCGAAUGCAACGAAGAUUUCGAUCAGCUUAAUAUCAGCCGAGCACAAAUAUUCAGUCAAUCCAAUUAUCAGCCGGGUUUGCGGCAAUGGGUUCUUUAUAACCCUUCUAUUGAUACCAUUGGCAGCAUUCGAUGUCACAUAGUUAUCGAUGAAUUCCGGAUGUUUUCAGAUUAUCUCAAAACGACAGGCAGCAGGAGAUGCUUACCGAGAAUAGAAAGUUGUGCUACCAAUUGGACAAGUGAGUCCGACAAAAUCAAAUGUCAUGCCUACACUUUUCUUGUUCAAACGGAACUCCCUCUGGGUUUCAGCAGACGGCACUUACAGCAGAACGUGUACAAGAAUGCCCACUGCGCCAAGUGCAACCAUGUCCAGCCUAAUGAAACUCUUUGCUAUUUUCCGAGGAGUACGGACUUGUUCAGAUUAAGAGCUCCUCUUCCAGGCGGCCGAAGACAAUAUUCGUUUUCAAUGUUAAUUGAUUUUGACUUUGGCGGAAGUGGAGCAGGAGGCGGAAGAAAUGAAAUUGUGUGUGGGCCCAAGGAAAUAUUUGACUACUUCCACGAUCGAUGCCAUGCAGUUAUUUGCGGUGCAAUGUUUGUCAACGAAGGAGGAACUUGCGUACCGAAAUCUGAGCUAAAAGUAGAUGGACCAACAGCCAGAAUUUGGCUCAAUUCAUCUUGCCAGCGAUUGGUUUUAACGGAGAAUCUGGAUUAUAUCCAGCUGGAAAACGGUUCGCUAAUUCUAAACUCUACUGGCGAAAUGCUUCAUCGGGAAGAUUACGAACCGAUUGAAGUCGGACAGAACGUCAGCAUUUGCUCGAUCCAACCGGACAGCUACUUCAAAUACGCCUCAACUGGGCAGCAUUACAUGUCCGAUAUUUGUUUAGCUAUUAGCGUCGUCUGCCUUGCCUUCCACAUAAUCGUUCACAUGAUCCUACCGAAAUUACGAAAUUUACCCGGUAAGAAUUUGCUUUCGCUCUCUUGCGCCCUCUUCAUGGCCCAGCUGCUCUUUUUGACGGGCAUCGGUCUUCGAGACACCGUCGGCUACCGCCUCUGUGCCACUCUGGGAGUGUUGACUCAUUGGUUUUACUUGGCAGCUUUCUUCUGGAUGAACGUCAUGGGCUUCGACAUUUGCCGGACAUUCACCGGGUCACUGAUCAGACACCGCGGCAUGCAAGGCCGUGGCCAGCGCUGCACUUUCAUUUUCUAUUCUUUGUACGCCUGGGGUUUUCCAACUUUGGUCGUUUCCCUGGGAAUCAUGUUGGAUUUAACCCACUUGAUGGACGACUACGCACCCGAAUACGGCACCCGCCUUUGCUGGAUCUCAAACAAGACUGGACUGGGUUUCUUUUUCAUCGUGCCUGUAGCCGUUCUGCUGUUGGAGAACAUGAUCCUCUUCAGUCUGACCGUAUUCUCCAUUUUGAAACAGAGGAGAGCCGCUCGGUUCGCAGUCGACAAGAAACAGUCCUACCGAAAGGCCGGCGAGAGCAAGUCGGUGACGGAAAGGCUCCAACUUCCGCCCGGUCCGACGGCCCCAACGGCCCCCAUGCGUCACAGUAGCACCGCCAACAGCAAGCAAAAGAUUCGCUUCAUCCUUUACAUCAAACUGGGUCUGAUUAUGGGAAUGGGCUGGAUCUUCGGCUUCAUAGCGGCUCUAGCCAAAAUUCCAGCUCUCUGGUACCCGUUUAUCUUCUUCAACGCUUUGCAAGGCGCCUUCAUCUUCGUGGCUUUUUGCUGCAAGCGCAAAAUCUAUUUUAUGCUGUACCAAUGGGCCACCAAUCGACCGCACCCAUCUGACUCGUCGUCAAGCAGCCGAACGACGGCUAGUUCCAACAAGCCUAGCACCAGCACUCAGAGGGCCAGCGUUGCCGUUGAACUACCCAGUAAUUUGGCAGUCGAAUUCGAAAGUCAUCCAACCAAUCGGUUCGUUCCCAUCGUCCAAGGCAGCACACAACCGGUCCGUCAACAGUCCCUUUCUAAGCAUCGUCAAUACUAAAAAAAAAUUCAAAACAAAUCAACAAAAUUAACCAUUGCAAAACGAUCCUCCUCUGAUGUAACCAACGAUCUUAUUUGGCUGACGAUCUUCUCUCUCUCUGCAAACUCUUUUUUUAUCUCUAUCUUUCGCUCUCUUGAAUGGCGCUGCAUGAUGAUGGACUCCGAUGGGGUUCCAAGAUGUGAGCAUACCUGUCAUUCGACCCAUCUCAGCAUAAAGUCGGAGAUGCAGCCUUCCUUAGCGGCCGAACGUCUGCUCCCGCAGGUGGCCGCGGUCGAGAUUGCUCGCAAUUGGAUCAGUUCCGCCUCGCCGGUCAGCCGGGCCAAACGAAAUCUGCCUCGAGUUGUCGUCACCAAACAUUUCGUCAACGAUGACGAAUUGCAUCCGGAUCCGUUCGCCAACGGGCAAAACUCCGUGUGCCAUCUCUACGUUCAAAAUAACAAUCACUCAUCAUUGUCCAAGUCCUGACUAUAGAUACUUAUUCCGUGUCCAUUUCACCUAUAUAGUAUAUCGCGCCGCUACAUAACCCUCUGUUGUUUUAAU
rnacentral:misc_RNA from 1 species